rnacentral:lncRNA from 1 species
CACUUGGCAAUUAUAAAACAAUCACCACGACAACAUAAGUUUCGAAAUGGUUUUGCAAUCAAUCACGCUUACACACAAUUCCAAAACAUCCACACUUGGCAAUUAUAACACAGUCACCAUGACAACUUGAGUUCAAAGACUCAAUCAUAAUCUUAAAUCAAACACGACUCGCGUGCCAAGCACCCUAAUGCAAUGCGUAUAUGCCAAAAUGCAUGGACUCGGAAUUCCAAACCAAAACCCUCCUCGAAGGGCCGUAAAUCAUAAUUGUACCGCCUAUCACAGGCCGAAGUACUAAAUUACCGAGGUUCUACCUAUCACGGGUCAGCACGAUUUACCAAAAAUGUGCAGUCUAUCGCAGACCAUACACAACGCGACAAUCCCCGCAAGGAUAAGAUGAACC